GAUGAACGCUAGCUACAGGCUUAACACAUGCAAGUCGAGGGGCAGCAUGUCGGUUGCUUGCAACCGAUGAUGGCGACCGGCGCACGGGUGAGUAACGCGUAUCCAACCUACCCUUGUCCAUCGGAUAACCCGUCGAAAGGCGGCCUAACACGAUAUGCGGUUCACAGCAGGCAUCUAACGUGAACGAAAUGUGAAGGAGAAGGAUGGGGAUGCGUCUGAUUAGCUUGUUGGCGGGGUAACGGCCCACCAAGGCUACGAUCAGUAGGGGAUCUGAGAGGAAGGUCCCCCACAUUGGAACUGAGACACGCUCCAAACUCCUACGGGAGGCAGCAGUGAGGAAUAUUGGUCAAUGGACGAGAGUUUGAACCAGCCAAGUAGCGUGCAGGAUGACGGCCCUAUGGGUUGUAAACUGCUUUUAUAGGGGGAUAAAGUGUGCCACGUGUGGCAUAUUGCAGGUACCCUAUGAAUAAGGACCGGCUAAUUCCGUGCCAGCAGCCGCCGUAAAAC
rnacentral:rRNA from 1 species